UACGGAGGAUGCGAGCGUUAUCCGGAUUUAUUGGGUUUAAAGGGUGCGUAGGCGGCUAUGUAAGUCAGCGGUGAAAUUCAGGCGCUCAACGUCUGCCGUGCCGUUGAAACUGCGUGGCUUGAAUGCGGAUGCCGUGGGAGGAAUGUGUGGUGUAGCGGUGAAAUGCAUAGAUAUCACACAGAACACCGAUUGCGAAGGCAUCUCACGAAUCCGCUAUUGACGAGAGGCAAGAAAGUGCGGGGAUCAAACA
rnacentral:rRNA from 1 species